UUCACAGGCAUUUCAGUGACUACAACAGUGAGUAUUUAGGCAAUACAUAAUUAUGAAUGUUAAAUAUAUGAGAGUCAAGAGCGUUAAAUAUAUGAGGGCCAAGUGGUCCUCUUGCCCACAUUAGGAUGGUGUGGGGGACAAUAGCUGUCUUCCCGUAAGUAAGUGAAAAGUUGUGAAGUAGAAAAAUAUAGCUCAGUAUGGCUCAAUACGGUGCAUCAGGAAGGGAUGGUAGAAAUGUGUAAAAACCAUGGUAAUUGAGAGUCUAUGAUUUGACUUUGGAUUUUUAUUUACUUAUAACAGUGAAUAGAGUUAUAAGAAAUAUCCUAUCUAUAUUUUGUAGUAGUGACAUUUGCUUUAUGCUUCUGGAAGCAAAGCACAAGUCAUGCCCUGUUUCCAUCAUGAUGAAGCACCUUGUACCCUAAGACAGCGUUACCCUGUCAAUUUCUGGUCCCAAAAUAAUGAAACAUUGAAUAUUUCUUAUAUUCCCAGAUCCCCAGCAAACACCAUUUUAUUCUUGACUUUUAUUUAGCUCAUGUUGCAAGAUCUUUCUGGAUGUGAUCAUCGUGUGAUAAAAGAUUUUGUUUUUUCUCCAUGAACAAAUUAAUGCAAACUUAGUAAUCAUGGUAAUCUUCUUUAUAUUUUUCUUUAAAUACCUGUUAUAUUUUUCACUUGCGUAUCCAGUUUUUCUGAAGUCUGACUCCCUUGAGCCUUUGCAAGUAAACUCUUUUUCUUUUCAAAAUGCUUUGGCUCUGACUCUUCCUUUGAAAUUUUUGGGGGAAAAAAUGUUCUCUGAUCUUAAAAGGGUUUGUAAGAAAACAUGAAAAGCCUCUCACUGUUUGUUGUUGAUGUUUCAUUAAUUUGUUGCUCUGUUUGGCAUUGUCAAUUUAAAAUAAAUUUCUAUGCCUCUUUCAGCAAUCAAA
rnacentral:lncRNA from 1 species